UUUCUUGGAGAGUUUGAUCCUGGCUCAGGACGAACGCUGGCGGCGUGCCUAAUACAUGCAAGUCGAGCGAAUCUUGAGGUGCUUGCACCUCUUGGUUAGCGGCGGACGGGUGAGUAACACGUGGGCAACCUGCCUGUAAGACUGGGAUAACACCGGGAAACCGGUGCUAAUACCGGAUAAUCCUUUUCCUCUCAUGAGGAAAAGCUGAAAGUCGGUUUACGCUGACACUUACAGAUGGGCCCGCGGCGCAUUAGCUAGUUGGUGAGGUAACGGC
rnacentral:rRNA from 1 species